AUGCUUGUGUGUGGCUGCGGAUCUGAGGAGCUCAUUUAUGGGAAGGGGUCCCGGGGGUGUGGAGUGCUGCUAACUGGGGGGGGGGGUCAGUGCCAUCGGCCGCCCCCAGCCCUCCACAGCGCCAGAAGUAAACCCCAGCUCGUGGGACUGGACUGCACAAGUCAUUUCACCCAAUUGGCCUCAGUUUCCUCAUCUGUAAAAUGGGCAGCAGAAGGCAAUGGCAGCGCCCCACGGAGGGUGCCCCAUCCCCCAUCCCCUGCUCCUCCCACGAACGGACUUGGGGUGGCCCCAGCACAAAGAGGCGCCAGACCACCCCCCGCCGCUUUCCCGGGUUGGCUUCCCUGUUUUCUCCCCUUCCGGAGCCUGGGAGUAGCGGGGGAAGCUCGGGAAGCCCCCGGAAAGGGGCGCGGGAGGGCGGCGCGGGGGGCGGGGCUCAGACUCAUUUGCUCCUCGAAGCUCCGCGAGCCAAAGGAGGGCCGGACGGGAGGGGCGGGCGCUCCACAGGUGACUCCAGCGGCCCCGCAUCCCGGGCCCAUCCCGACGCUGACGACACAGGAAGUGUCGCGAGCGGAAACCGCGGCUGGACUGGAGCUGCGGGGCGGGGAGGGAGGGCAGGGCAGCGGCGGCGGCGGCGGCGGCGGCGGCGGCAGCAGCGGCGGCAGCAGCGGAGCGAGCGAGGUGAGUGCGGAGGCGGGAGGCUGGGGCUGCCGGCGCCUGGGGAGGAAGUGGCGGCUCCAGAGGUUGCGGUUUGGCCUCAACGGGUUUCUGGGGAGGGGGGAGGGGACGCUGCUGAGCGUCAAUGUGGUUGUGGACCGGGGGGGGGGGGGGGAUGCAUGGGGGGCGCCUGCUUCCCGGGCCCUGCUCCGAUGCGGCCGAUCCGUGGGUGGGCCGCCCUCAGCCACCACCUCUCCUCUUCGGGGGCGCCUGGAAAAUGCAGCUCCCCCUCCCCCAUCCCAGGCAGCCAGCCCGGCGGCCUCUGCGGGAUCCCCCUUUAGGGAGGGGCUCAGUGGGCGCGCACCUGGGGUAGGGUCGCUGGUGCCUGGGACAGGAGCCGCGAAUUCUCUCCGGGAAAGUUCCCUGUGA
rnacentral:lncRNA from 1 species